UGGUGAAUAUUGGGCAAUGGGCGCAAGCCUGACCCAGCAACGCCGCGUGAAGGCAGAAGGCCUUCGGAUUGUAAACUUUUGUCUUUGGGGAAGAUAAUGACGGUACCCAAGGAGGAAGCCACGGCUAACUACGUGCCAGCAGCCGCGGUAAUACGUAGGUGGCAAGCGUUGUCCGGAUUUACUGGGUGUAAAGGGCGUGUAGGCGGGAUUUUAAGUCAGGUGUGAAAAUUAUGGGCUCAACCCAUAAACUGCAUUUGAAACUGGAAAUCUUGAGUGUCGGAGAGGAAAGUGGAAUUCCUAGUGUAGCGGUGAAAUGCGUAGAUAUUAGGAGGAACACCAGUGGCGAAGGCGGCUUUCUGGACGAUAACUGACGCUGAGGCGCGAAAGCGUGGGGAGCAAACAGG
rnacentral:rRNA from 2 species